AGUGUGCACGGGCUUCUGUGAUGUCUGUGUUUGGAAUGGCAAGAUGGUGGGACCUUCCAGUUCCAGAGAUGGACUGCAGUUGAAGCUUAUGACCUUGCAUGAAGAGCCAUCCUGUGUGUUGCUGGGUUUCUGAAGCUGCUGCUGUCCCUGGAACCCAUGUUUGCUGUUGAACUGACUUGCUGGUGCCUCUGCAACUUGCAAUGAGCGGGAGGAGCUCUCCGAAGCAAAAUGUGAAGCUUGCAUCGGUUGCAUUGCGGAGAAGAGAUCUUGCUCAGUUGUCCCAGGCAAUGGAGGCCCCCAAGUGUGAGACAGCACCAUUUGCUGUGCCAUCGAACUGGUCUUCUUGAAGAUCUUACAUAUGGUCCAAGAGUCCUGUUUUGGGCAACAGAAAAGUGACCUUAAGAAUUUGACAUAACAUUUGAAUUUAGCUCUGUAACUACAUAAUAUGAAUUGAAAUGCUUACGUUGAGCGGGAUGUUCUUGUCGAUCGGUCUCUUGGGAAGUGAUGGAUCGGUUAGCGAAGGAAGCCUGAACUCAUGCAUCAUCCAGUCGGUUUUGAUCCCUCUUGCUGCCCUACCUCUGUAGAAGACAAGGGACUUCUUCAGGCCUAUGCACCUGGUGUCUUCGGAGGAGUAGAUCGGCCUGUCUGUUCCUGUGGCUUUCCAGAACCCAGCUGCUGUGACUCGGUUUGGCCUCGCGCUGUUGCGAUAUUUCCGGUCCCUCGGGCAGUAGAAGUACCAGUCCGUCUCACCGGUGCUCGCAAGCUCUGUCGUUGAGAAGGGAUAUGGAAGUUAGACUUUGCAGCAGUAAGGUGAGUAAUCCAUCUAUGUACUGUAGGCUAGCUUGUGAUGAGAAGAUGGUCAAUACUACUACUGAUUUCGUUCAACUGAACCUCCAGUGAACGGAUGAGCCCAAGACUUUCUUAACUAAAGAUUAAGGGUGAAACCAACUUAUGUUGAAUGAGCAUCCUAAUUCCUAGCCUCUCCUUGGAAGAUACUAGUACAAUCUUUGGAAUUCUCAAAAGUCAAUUGCGUCCAAUCUGUUAAAGAGAGAAAAAAAGAUGUAUAACAAGGAGAGGUAAGAAGAUGCAAGCUUACUUGGGAGGUCCCACGGGUCAAACUUGUAGAUGUCCAGCUGCCUGAUGAGCUCAAUAGAGAUAGGCUUUUGCUGGAUCUUCUUCUUGAGGUAGAAACUAACGAGCUCUUCGUCGGUAGGAUGGAACCGGAACCCCGGCAUGAUGAUCUCUUCUGAUUUGUCCAUGUUGACAUCAUUUAUGCCCUCCAUUGUAAUCUCACAAAGGCUAGCUUGUGCAGUAGUGAUUGGCUUCUUGGGAUGAAGCUGCUGAGCUGAGGUGAAGACAAUCACCGGUCGAGAGAUGUACUUAUAUGCUACCUGGAGCGACUGGAUGAGGCCCACAGGAUCCACAUGACGAACCGGGGAAGGGCCGUCUUUGAUGACAUCAGACCCGCUUGAUCGACACUGUCAAGGCGGCAGAGACAGGGGUGUGGGCUCGAUGGUCGGUAGGCAAUGAUUGUUCCGGCUAGCUCUUGUAAACCUGGGUCAUCCUUGUUGGUGUUGAACAUUUUUUUUGUUUCUUCUUGAUGUGUUGAGAUCGCAAAGCUUUCUUGUUUCUCUCGUAAAUCGACUGUCGGUGGACCAUGUUUUCUUCAUGCACAUGAGACAUCUGACACUGCAUCAGCAAACUCAAACAAACUUGACGCCAAGUUUAUUUUCCUGGCCGACACAACGUCGAUUUUGAUCAAGUUAAAGGCACUGCAAGCAAGCAAAUGGCCGUGAGCAUGAUCAAUUAAUCCUCUCACUCUGCAACUACUAAGCAACUACUUGGAUCUUCAGAGCACAGUCAUCAGCAACCUGGUACCAAGCACCCAGGGUUCGAAAAGGCGGUCACAAAUUCCCUUAAAUUUAACCAACAAGAACUGUGCAUGCAGCAUUCAUCCCAGACAACAGAUACUAAUGCAAAGGUAACCAGAGAC